AGGGUGUAAACGCUGCAGACUUGGUGUUGGAAGUCCUUUGGGGGCAUUCAGUGCCGGAGAGAAGUUGUUAAGUCUGCUACUUGGGGAGUACGUCCGCAAGGAUGAAACUUAAAGGAAUUGGCGGGGGAGCACCGCAACGGGAGGAGCGUGCGGUUUAAUUGGAUUCAACACCGGACAUCUCACCGGAUAAGACAGCUGAAUGAUUGUCAAUCUGAAGGUUUUACAUGACUAGCUGAGAGGAGGUGCAUGGCGGUCAGUGACU
rnacentral:rRNA from 1 species